CUGUAUCUCAAGCCCGGCUUGUGUGUUGGGCCUACCGUCCUGUUUGGAUGGUGGCCCGAAAGGCAGUGGCGGCGUCGCGUCCCGGUCCUUGAAGCGUAUGGGGCUUUGUCACCCGCUUGGAGGCCGGCCGAUGCCGUAGCCCAUCGUGGAUCUUCCACAUUUAUUCU
rnacentral:misc_RNA from 1 species